AGGUGUGAUCAUACGAACACUAAUAGACCGAAUCCUAUCAGAACCCCGCAAUCAAUCAUGCUUGGGGUAGAGUAGUACAAGGAUGGGUGACCUCCUGGGAUGUACUCGUGUUGCACCCC
rnacentral:rRNA from 1 species